GGGGUAUUAGCUCAGUUGGCCAGAGCGCUGCGUUCGCAAUGCAGAGGUCACCGGUUCGACUCCGGUAUACUCCACCA
rnacentral:tRNA from 1 species